CCUACGGGAGGCAGCAGUGGGGAAUAUUGGACAGUGGGGGCAACCCUGAUCCAGCCAUGCCGCGUGUGUGAAGAAGGCCCUCGGGUUGUAAAGCACUUUCAGUGAGGAAGAACGCCUGGUGGUUAAUACCCAUCAGGAAAGACAUCACUCACAGAAGAAGCACCGGCUAACUCCGUGCCAGCAGCCGCGGUAAUACGGAGGGUGCGAGCGUUAAUCGGAAUUACUGGGCGUAAAGCGCGCGUAGGUGGCUUGAUAAGCCGGUUGUGAAAGCCCCGGGCUCAACCUGGGAACGGCAUCCGGAACUGUCAAGCUAGAGUGCAGGAGAGGAAGGUAGAAUUCCCGGUGUAGCGGUGAAAUGCGUAGAGAUCGGGAGGAAUACCAGUGGCGAAGGCGGCCUUCUGGACUGACACUGACACUGAGGUGCGAAAGCGUGGGUAGCAAACAGGAUUAGAUACCCGUGUAGUC
rnacentral:rRNA from 1 species